rnacentral:lncRNA from 1 species
CCUCCUGCCAGCUCCCCCGCCCCUCGCUGCUCGCCGCGUCGCCGGCGAGCUGUACUGUAAGUGUGAGUUGCUUAGACGAAGCCACACACCCACGGAGGGAGAUUUGAAGAAAAAAUACUGACUGCAAGCAGCAUUUAAGACCCCAGGAAACAUUAUUGUUUUUUCUUCAGAAAGCAUAGAAUUGGGAUUUACCAAAGCUGCACAGGUUAAAGACAAAAGGAAAUUUCGAAAUGAUGCUGAAAGUAAAUUUCUGCACAGUUCAUCAUAGCAAAAAAGGUAAGAAUAAAUGAUCUUAUGAAAUCA